GCCGGUGUGGCGGAAUGGUAGACGCAGGGGAUUCAAAAUCCCCCGACCCUAGGUCGUAAGAGUUCGAGUCUCUUCACCGGCA
rnacentral:tRNA from 1 species